UGGUGCCUACGGGGGGCAGCAGUGGGGAAUAUUGCACAAUGGGGGAAACCCUGAUGCAGCGACGCCGCGUGAGUGAAGAAGUAUUUCGGUAUGUAAAGCUCUAUCAGCAGGGAAGAAAAUGACGGUACCUGACUAAGAAGCCCCGGCUAACUACGUGCCAGCAGCCGCGGUAAUACGUAGGGGGCAAGCGUUAUCCGGAUUUACUGGGUGUAAAGGGAGCGUAGACGGCAUGGCAAGUCAGAUGAGGAAGCCAGGGGCACAACCCCGGGACUGCAUUUGAAAC
rnacentral:rRNA from 1 species